UGGGGAACNGGGGGGGGGGGGGGGGGGGGGGGGGGGGGGGGGGGGGGGGGGGGGGGGGAAUGAAGUUCCAGCCGCACAGUGAGAAUAACACAGAAUAACACAGUGAGAACAUCGCUGCUGUUUCACAAGGGGGAUGCGGUGGCGCAGCUCUGUGCUCAGAUAUCUGCCUUCCUCACAAGCAGCCAGUGGGAACGGGUCUGACAUCGCCCUGGCAUCUGCAGGGCUGAGCAUGGUGCCCGGCACUUUCAGGGCAUGGGGAUGGAUUUCUUGUUGUGAGCAUGGGCAGUGGUCCUGCUUCCUCCUCUUUGGGACAGUGGCCGCCUGUGCCUGCGGAGGCGUGAUCACGAGCUGUCAGUGUGUGACGGAGCUUCAGUUGUGUUCCUCCCGUUCCCUGAAAAAGCAUCUUAACCUGUCGCUAAAGCAGAACGUCCUGCGUGACAUCGGUGCUGAGUCACUCUCCGGGGCACCCACAGGACAGAAGCCAGGAAAGACUGGACUGGCCAGAAAUGGGGGCACCCACCUCUGUACUCUUCUGUCUGCCCAACUGGGCCAGAUAGCUCGAGUUGGGGCAGUCCCAAAGUGACAGCGUGUCCCCCGAGGAAGACUCCUCAGUCUUGACACCGCCUUCCUGCGGGCUGAGCGCCCUUGACCUGAGAACACUCCCUCGCACUGGUGCCUCUUCCCUGGAUUGAGGGUCUGGGGAGCCCGGAUCCCGCCUGCUGAUGGUCUCAAGUUUGCAAAUGUUUGUGAAGUGAAUGCAAUUUAUCAGGAAUCUACAACCUUAGGCUCUGACUUUUAAUGCCAAGGGC
rnacentral:lncRNA from 1 species